rnacentral:rRNA from 1 species
UACGUAGGGGGCAAGCGUUGUCCGGAAUCAUUGGGCGUAAAGCGCGUGUAGGCGGUCCGGUAAGUCCGCUGUGAAAGUCGGGGGCUCAACCCUCGGAUGCCGGUGGAUACUGUCGGGCUUGAGUACGGAAGAGGCGAGUGGAAUUCCUGGUGUAGCGGUGAAAUGCGUAGAGAUCAGGAGGAACACCCGUGGCGAAGGCGGCACGCUGGGCCGGCCCUGACGCUGAGGCGCGAAAGCGUGGGGAGCGAACGGG